GCCCAGAUAGCUCAGUCGGUAGAGCAUCCCUGUUUGGGUUUCAGUCGGGUUUCAAGUCCCUGUUUGGGCG